AGCAUGCUGCAGGGAAGUGCGGGUGGAGGGAGGCAUCCGAAAGGAGGAGCUAAGAGAUGUAAAAGAAGAAAACAGGCAGGUGAAAAAAACAUUCAGAGUUACGCUGUGUUUUCUCCAUAAUUUAGGUUUCUCUUUGCACAUGAGAUUCAGUAGACCGAUCCUUAAGGAGCGUGAACUUAUUUUUUACGGGAUGUCAAAGAGGAACAAAGAGGACCUUCCAAGAUAUCUUCUGCUGAAUAUGUCAUUCAAGAUUCUUCCUAGCCAGACCUUUGCUAAUUGGAGAUAAACGUCUCUAGAUUGGCACCUGAGCUAACAACAGUUGCCAAUCUUCUUUCUUCUUUUUCUUUUUCCUUGCUUUUUCUCCCCAAAUCCCCCCAG
rnacentral:lncRNA from 1 species